CUCGAGCCCUCACGAGGCCGUGGGUACGACCGGAAGCCGCAGUUCAGUGAUGGGGAGCCGUGUUUGGCAGUGCAGAGGUAGCGAAGUGUCCCAAGAACAUGGAAGACUGAAUCUCGCUCUGUUGCCCAGCCCAUCUCGGCCCACUGAAACCUCCACCUCCCGGGUUCAAGCGAUUCUCCUGCCUCAGCCUCCCGAGUAGCUGAGAUUACAGGCGCCUGCCACCACGCCCAGCAUGCUGAUCCCAUUUUCAAUGAAGAAUUGCUUCCAGUUACUUUGUAACUGCCAGGUCCCAGCAGCUGGCUUUAAAAAAACAGUAAAAAAUGGGCUCAUUUUACAGUCAAUUUCCAAUGAUGUCUAUCAAAAUCUGGCUGUGGAAGACUGGAUCCAUGACCAUAUGAAUCUAGAAGGCAAACCAAUUCUAUUCUUUUGGCAGAAUUCUCCCUCUGUUGUAAUUGGUAGGCAUCAAAAUCCUUGGCAGGAAUGUAACCUGAAUCUAAUGAGAGAAGAAGGUAUAAAACUGGCUCGGAGAAGAAGUGGAGGAGGAACAGUCUACCAUGAUAUGGGUAAUAUCAAUUUGACUUUCUUUACAACC
rnacentral:lncRNA from 1 species